rnacentral:lncRNA from 1 species
CACUUACUCCUCAUCCAGGGAACUCCGUGCAUGACCAGAGAUCCAGCACAAGAGCCAUGUGUGACACCCUGUGCUCAGACACUCACCAAUGCUUCAAUGCUACUGUUCAACAGCAGUGCUCAAAAGAUUUUAAAGUGCUACUGAACACCAGUUCUGGGUUCAAAGUGGUGGAGGGUGCUGACCUCAUCAUUGAGUGUGCCCAUAACCUGCCGGUGGAACCAAAAAUCCCGCUGGUGUUUGUCUGGCUGAUGGAUGGCGUCUCCCUGACGGGCGAGAACAGUAGCCAGCUCACCGUGAAGAAGGUCGGCAUAGCUACCUCUGGCAAGAAUAAAUACGCCUGCACCAUCCAGAGUCCCUGUGGCAACUUCACCUCAGAUCCAAAGGAGAUUGAAUUUGAAGACACGACGCUGUUGGUCAUAGUGAUCUGUGGUGUGUCUGCUGUGGUGCUGAUCCUGGCCAUGGGUAUAGGCAUGAAGAUCAUGCUGAAGAAGGAAUUUGCAAAGACCAAGAACAGGAGGCAGCAGAAUGCUCAGAACCUACAGAGAACUACCACAACAGAGUAGUGUUUCAUUUUCUGCAAAUUCCACCAAAUGUCCUUCAUGCGAAAAUGGCAAAAAUCUGACAUGAUUACACUGUGAAUGGAGAAAUAUGUAGCUAACAAUUUAUAGUUGUAUUUGCUGCAAUUUAAUCAACAUAACACUGACGUUGAGAUAAUUUUAUGAUGGAAGAGCCACAGAUGCAUAUGUUAAUCCUCUGGCAGUGACACACAGCUAGUUUGGAGAUUUGUCCCAAUAA